rnacentral:tRNA from 1 species
UAGUCGAGUGGUAAGGCGCCUGCUCCCUAUGCAGGAGGCAGCGGGUUCAAACCCCAC